rnacentral:rRNA from 1 species
UGCAAGUCGAGCGGUAGCACAGAGAGCUUGCUCUCGGGUGACGAGCGGCGGACGGGUGAGUAAUGUCUGGGAAACUGCCUGAUGGAGGGGGAUAACUACUGGAAACGGUAGCUAAUACCGCAUAACGUCGCAAGACCAAAGUGGGGGACCUUCGGGCCUCAUGCCAUCAGAUGUGCCCAGAUGGGAUUAGCUAGUAGGUGGGGUAAUGGCUCACCUAGGCGACGAUCCCUAGCUGGUCUGAGAGGAUGACCAGCCACACUGGAACUGAGACACGGUCCAGACUCCUACGGGAGGCAGCAGUGGGGAAUAUUGCACAAUGGGCGCAAGCCUGAUGCAGCCAUGCCGCGUGUAUGAAGAAGGCCUUCGGGUUGUAAAGUACUUUCAGCGAGGAGGAAGGCAUUAAGGUUAAUAACCUUAGUGAUUGACGUUACUCGCAGAAGAAGCACCGGCUAACUCCGUGCCAGCAGCCGCGGUAAUACGGAGGGUGCAAGCGUUAAUCGGAAUUACUGGGCGUAAAGCGCACGCAGGCGGUCUGUUAAGUCAGAUGUGAAAUCCCCGGGCUCAACCUGGGAACUGCAUUUGAAACUGGCAGGCUUGAGUCUUGUAGAGGGGGGUAGAAUUCCAGGUGUAGCGGUGAAAUGCGUAGAGAUCUGGAGGAAUACCGGUGGCGAAGGCGGCCCCCUGGACAAAGACUGACGCUCAGGUGCGAAAGCGUGGGGAGCAAACAGGAUUAGAUACCUGGUAGUCCACGCUGUAAACGAUGUCGACUUGGAGGUUGUUCCCUUGAGGAGUGGCUUCCGGAGCUAACGCGUUAAGUCGACCGCCUGGGGAGUACGGCCGCAAGGUUAAAACUCAAAUGAAUUGACGGGGGCCCGCACAAGCGGUGGAGCAUGUGGUUUAAUUCGAUGCAACGCGAAGAACCUUACCUACUCUUGACAUCCAGAGAACUUAGCAGAGAUGCUUUGGUGCCUUCGGGAACUCUGAGACAGGUGCUGCAUGGCUGUCGUCAGCUCGUGUUGUGAAAUGUUGGGUUAAGUCCCGCAACGAGCGCAACCCUUAUCCUUUGUUGCCAGCGAUUCGGUCGGGAACUCAAAGGAGACUGCCAGUGAUAAACUGGAGGAAGGUGGGGAUGACGUCAAGUCAUCAUGGCCCUUACGAGUAGGGCUACACACGUGCUACAAUGGCAUAUACAAAGAGAAGCGACCUCGCGAGAGCAAGCGGACCUCAUAAAGUAUGUCGUAGUCCGGAUUGGAGUCUGCAACUCGACUCCAUGAAGUCGGAAUCGCUAGUAAUCGUAGAUCAGAAUGCUACGGUGAAUACGUUCCCGGGCCUUGUACACACCGCCCGUCACACCAUGGGAGUGGGUUGCAAAAGAAGUAGGUAGCUUAACCUUCGGGAGGGCGCUA